rnacentral:rRNA from 1 species
ACCCGCUGAACUUAAGCAUAUCAAUAAGCGGAGGAAAAGAAACCAACAGGGAUUGCCUUAGUAACGGCGAGUGAAGCGGCAAAAGCUCAAAUUUGAAAUCGGCCCCCAGGUCGAGUUGUAAUUUGUAGAUUGUAUCUUGAGAGCGGAUUAAAGUCUGUUGGAACACAGCGCCUUAGAGGGUGACAGCCCCGUAAAAUCUAUUCUCAUUGUAAGAUACUUUCGAAGAGUCGAGUUGUUUGGGAAUGCAGCUCUAAGUGGGAGGUAAAUUCCUUCUAAAGCUAAAUAUUGACGAGAGACCGAUAGCGAACAAGUACUGUGAAGGAAAGAUGAAAAGCACUUUGAAAAGAGAGUGAAAAAGUACGUGAAAUUGUUAAAAGGGAAGGGUAUUGAAUCAGACUUGGUGCUGUUGUUCAACUAUGUUUCGGCAUAGUGUACUCAGCAGUACUAGGCCAAGGUGGGGUGUUUGGGAGUGAAAAAGAAGUAGGAACGUAACUCUUCGGAGUGUUAUAGCCUACUUUCAUAGCUCCUCAGGCGCCUCAGGACUGCGCUUCGGCAAGGACCUUGGCAUAAUGAUUCUAUACCGCCCGUCUUGAAACACGGACCAAGGAG